UACAGAGGGUGCGAGCGUUAAUCGGAAUUACUGGGCGUAAAGCGUGCGUAGACGGUAGCGUAAGUCAGAUGUGAAAGCCCCGGGCUCAACCUGGGAACUGCAUUUGAAACUGCGCUGCUCGGGUGCGGAAGAGGGAAGCGGAAUUUCCGGUGUAGCGGUGAAAUGCGUAGAUAUCCGGAGGAAUACCAAAGGCGAAGGCAGUGUCCUGGAGGGUUAACUGACGCUGAGGCGCGAAAGCUAGGGGAGCGAACAGG
rnacentral:rRNA from 1 species